rnacentral:rRNA from 1 species
UGCGUACCUUUUGUAUAAUGGGUCAGCGACUUAUAUUUUGUAGCGAGGUUAACCGAUUAGGGUAGCCGUAGGGAAACCGAGUCUUAACUGGGCGUAUAGUUGCAAGGUAUAGACCCGAAACCCGGUGAUCUAGCCAUGGGCAGGUUGAAGGUUGAGUAACAUCAACUGGAGGACCGAACCCACUAACGUUGAAAAGUUAGGGGAUGACCUGUGGCUAGGAGUGAAAGGCUAAUCAAACCGGGAGAUAGCUGGUUCUCCCCGAAAUCUAUUUAGGUAGAGCCUCGGACGAAUACUUACGGGGGUAGAGCACUGUUAAGGCUAGGGGGUCAUCCCGACUUACCAACCCUUUGCAAACUCCGAAUACCGUAAAGUACUAUCCGGGAGACACACGGCGGGUGCUAACGUCCGUCGUGAAGAGGGAAACAACCCAGACCGCCAGCUAAGGUCCCAAAGUCAUAGUUAAGUGGGAAACGAUGUGGAAAGGCCCAGACAGCCAGGAGGUUGGCUUAGAAGCAGCCAUCCUUUAAAGAAAGCGUAAUAGCUCACUGGUCGAGUCGGUCUGCGCGGAAGAUGUAACGGGGCUAAACUAUGCACCGAAGCUGCGGAUUCAAAAUUUAUUUUGAGUGGUAGGGGAGCGUUCUGUAAGCCGUUGAAGGUGAACCGGGAGGGUUGCUGGAGGUAUCAGAAGUGCGAAUGCUGACAUGAGUAACGAUAAUGCGGGUGAAAAACCCGCACGCCGGAAGACCAAGGGUUCCUAUCCCAUGUUAAUCAGGGUAGGGUAAGUCGACCCCUAAGGCGAGGCCGAAAGGCGUAGUCGAUGGGAAACGGGUUAAUAUUCCCGUACUUGGUAUAAUUGCGAUGGGGGGACGGAGCAGGCUAAACAAGCAUGGCGUUGGUUGUCCAUGUGAAAGUGAGUAGGUUGAGAGUUUAGGAAAAUCCGGACUCUUAAGACUGAGACACGAGACGAGCACCCAAGGGUGUGAAGUUGUUGAUGCCAUACUUCCAGGAAAAGCCUCUAAGCUUCAGAUUAUACCGAAUCGUACCCCAAACCGACACAGGUGGUCAGGUAGAGAAUACUAAGGCGCUUGAGAGAACUCGGGUGAAGGAACUAGGCAAAAUUGUACCGUAACUUCGGGAGAAGGUACGCUCCUAUCUGUGAUGAGACUUGCUCU